AGGACGAACGCUGGCGGCGUGCUUAACACAUGCAAGUCGAGCGGAAAGGCCUUUCGGGGUACUCGAGCGGCGAACGGGUGAGUAACACGUGAGUAAUCUGCCCAUCGCUUCAGGAUAGCCAUCGGAAACGGUGAUUAAUACUGGAUAUGACAUUCCUUCGCAUGUUGGGGUGUGGAAAGUUUUUUCGGCGGUGGAUGUGCUCGCGGCCUAUCAGCUUGUUGGUGGGUAAUGGCCUACCAAGGCUUUGACGGGUAGCCGGCUGAGAGGGUGACCGGCCACACGUGGGACUGAGACACGGCCCAGACUCCGUACGGGAGCAGCAGGUGGGAAUAUGGACAAGUGGGACGGAAGCCUAGACUCCGAGCCAACGCCGCGUGGAGGAUGACGGUCCGUUCGGGUUACGUAACCUCGUUUCGA
rnacentral:rRNA from 1 species